rnacentral:rRNA from 1 species
GACGAACGCUGGCGGCGUGCUUAACACAUGCAAGUCGAGCGGUAAGGCCCUUUCGGGGGUACACGAGCGGCGAACGGGUGAGUAACACGUGGGUGACCUGCCCUCAGCUCUGGGAUAAGCCUGGGAAACCGGGUCUAAUACCGGAUAUGACUCCAUGACGCAUGUUGUGGGGUGAAAGCCUUGUGCGGCUGAGGAUGGGCCCGCGGCCUAUCAGCUUGUUGGUGGGGUGAUGGCCUACCAAGGCGACGACGGGUAGCCGGCCUGAGAGGGCGACCGGCCACACUGGGACUGAGACACGGCCCAGACUCCUACGGGAGGCAGCAGUGGGGAAUUGUUCGCAAUGGGCGCGAAGCCUGACGACGCAACGCCGCGU